GAUGAACGCUGGCGGCGUGCCUAAUACAUGCAAGUCGAGCGAACAGACGAGGAGCUUGCUCCUCUGACGUUAGCGGCGGACGGGUGAGUAACACGUGUAUAACCUACCUAUAAGACUGGGAUAACUUCGGGAAACCGGAUCUAAUACCGGAUGAUAUAUUGAACCGCAUGGUUCAAUAGUGAAAGACGGUUUUUCUGGCACGUAUAGAUGGAUCGGCGCCGCAUUAGCUAGUUGUUAGGCUAACAGCUUACCAAGGCGACGAUGCGUAGCCGACGUGAGAGAGGGGUCGCCGACCUGGGAGCGUAGACACGCUCCAGGCUCCUACGGGACGCCGCAGUAGGCUACCUUAGGCAAUGGGCGAGAGCAUGACGCAGCAGGCGGGCGCGAGUGAUGACGGUCUCCCGUUCGUAAAGCUCUGUUAUUGGGUAAGAACAACUGUGUAAUUAAAUAUGCAGGUCUUGACGGUACCGAAUCAGAAAGCACCGGCUAACUACGUG
rnacentral:rRNA from 1 species